GGAGGGGUGGUCGAGUGGUUGAUGGCUCCGGUCUUGAAAACCGGCGUGCCGAAAGGCACCGUGGGUUCGAAUCCCACCCCCUCCG
rnacentral:tRNA from 2 species